rnacentral:rRNA from 1 species
CUUCCGUAGGGGUGACCUGCGGAAGGAUCAUUACCGAGUGUAGGGUUCCUAGCGAGCCCAACCUCCCACCCGUGUUUACUGUACCUUAGUUGCUUCGGCGGGCCCGCCAUUCAUGGCCGCCGGGGGCUCUCAGCCCCGGGCCCGCGCCCGCCGGAGACACCACGAACUCUGUCUGAUCUAGUGAAGUCUGAGUUGAUUGUAUCGCAAUCAGUUAAAACUUUCAACAAUGGAUCUCUUGGUUCCGGCAUCGAUGAAGAACGCAGCGAAAUGCGAUAACUAGUGUGAAUUGCAGAAUUCCGUGAAUCAUCGAGUCUUUGAACGCACAUUGCGCCCCCUGGUAUUCCGGGGGGCAUGCCUGUCCGAGCGUCAUUGCUGCCCAUCAAGCACGGCUUGUGUGUUGGGUCGUCGUCCCCUCUCCGGGGGGGACGGGCCCCAAAGGCAGCGGCGGCACCGCGUCCGAUCCUCGAGCGUAUGGGGCUUUGUCACCCGCUCUGUAGGCCCGGCCGGCGCUUGCCGAACGCAAAUCAAUCUUUUUCCAGGUUGACCUCGGAUCAGGUAGGGAUACCCGCUGAACUUAAGCAUAUCAAUAAGCGGAGGAA